rfam:Legionella tucsonensis strain ATCC 49180 Ltuc_ctg001, whole genome shotgun sequence.
CAACAGGCGUCAUUCGACGCCAUUCUGAUAUAAAAUUAUUACGUA